UAGGGAAUAUUAGUAAUGGGCGAAAGCCUGAACUAGCAACGCCGCGUGUGCGAAGAAGGCCUUCGGGUUGUAAAGCACUUUUUGAGAGGAUGAGGAAGGACGGUACUCUCAGAAUAAGUCUCGGCUAACUACGUGCCAGCAGCCGCGGUAACACGUAGGAGGCGAACGUUAUCCGGAUUUACUGGGCGUAAAGCGCGUGUAGGUGGUUUGGUAAGUAGGGCGUGAAAGCUCCUGGCUCAACUGGGAGAGGCCGUUCUAAACUGCCAAGCUUGAGGAUGGUAGAGGGAGGUGGAAUUCCGGGUGUAGCGGUGGAAUGCGCAGAUAUCCGGAGGAACACCAGUGGCGAAGGCGGCCUCCUGGACCACUCCUGACACUCAGACGCGGAAGCUAGGGUAGCAAACGG
rnacentral:rRNA from 1 species